rnacentral:rRNA from 1 species
AUAAUGGGUCAGCGACUUAUAUUCUGUAGCAAGGUUAACCGAAUAGGGGAGCCGAAGGGAAACCGAGUCUUAACUGGGCGUUAAGUUGCAGGGUAUAGACCCGAAACCCGGUGAUCUAGCCAUGGGCAGGUUGAAGGUUGGGUAACACUAACUGGAGGACCGAACCGACUAAUGUUGAAAAAUUAGCGGAUGACUUGUGGCUGGGGGUGAAAGGCCAAUCAAACCGGGAGAUAGCUGGUUCUCCCCGAAAGCUAUUUAGGUAGCGCCUCGUGAAUUCAUCUCCGGGGGUAGAGCACUGUUUCGGCAAGGGGGUCAUCCCGACUUACCAACCCGAUGCAAACUGCGAAUACCGGAGAAUGUUAUCACGGGAGACACACGGCGGGUGCUAACGUCCGUCGUGAAGAGGGAAACAACCCAGACCGCCAGCUAAGGUCCCAAAGUCAUGGUUAAGUGGGAAACGAUGUGGGAAGGCCCAGACAGCCAGGAUGUUGGCUUAGAAGCAGCCAUCAUUUAAAGAAAGCGUAAUAGCUCACUGGUCGAGUCGGCCUGCGCGGAAGAUGUAACGGGGCUAAACCAUGCACCGAAGCUGCGGCAGCGACGCUGAUGCGUUGUUGGGUAGGGGAGCGUUCUGUAAGCCUGCGAAGGUGUGCUGUGAGGCAUGCUGGAGGUAUCAGAAGUGCGAAUGCUGACAUAAGUAACGAUAAAGCGGGUGAAAAGCCCGCUCGCCGGAAGACCAAGGGUUCCUGUCCAACGUUAAUCGGGGCAGGGUGAGUCGACCCCUAAGGCGAGGCCGAAAGGCGUAGUCGAUGGGAAACAGGUUAAUAUUCCUGUACUUGGUGUUACUGCGAAGGGGGGACGGAGAAGGCUAUGUUGGCCGGGCGACGGUUGUCCCGGUUUAAGCGUGUAGGCUGGUUUUCCAGGCAAAUCCGGAAAAUCAAGGCUGAGGCGUGAUGACGAGGCACUACGGUGCUGAAGCAACAAAUGCCCUGCUUCCAGGAAAAGCCUCUAAGCAUCAGGUAACAUCAAAUCGUACCCCAAACCGACACAGGUGGUCAGGUAGAGAAUACCAAGGCGCUUGAGAGAACUCGGGUGAAGGAACUAGGCAAAAUGGUGCCGUAACUUCGGGAGAAGGCACGCUGAUAUGUAGGUGAAGUCCCUCGCGGAUGGAGCUGAAAUCAGUCGAAGAUACCAGCUGGCUGCAACUGUUUAUUAAAAACACAGCACUGUGCAAACACGAAAGUGGACGUAUACGGUGUGACGCCUGCCCGGUGCCGGAAGGUUAAUUGAUGGGGUUAGCGCAAGCGAAGCUCUUGAUCGAAGCCCCGGUAAACGGCGGCCGUAACUAUAACGGUCCUAAGGUAGCGAAAUUCCUUGUCGGGUAAGUUCCGACCUGCACGAAUGGCGUAAUGAUGGCCAGGCUGUCUCCACCCGAGACUCAGUGAAAUUGAACUCGCUGUGAAGAUGCAGUGUACCCGCGGCAAGACGGAAAGACCCCGUGAACCUUUACUAUAGCUUGACACUGAACAUUGAGCCUUGAUGUGUAGGAUAGGUGGGAGGCUUUGAAGUGUGGACGCCAGUCUGCAUGGAGCCGACCUUGAAAUACCACCCUUUAAUGUUUGAUGUUCUAACGUUGACCCGUAAUCCGGGUUGCGGACAGUGUCUGGUGGGUAGUUUGACUGGGGCGGUCUCCUCCUAAAGAGUAACGGAGGAGCACGAAGGUUGGCUAAUCCUGGUCGGACAUCAGGAGGUUAGUGCAAUGGCAUAAGCCAGCUUGACUGCGAGCGUGACGGCGCGAGCAGGUGCGAAAGCAGGUCAUAGUGAUCCGGUGGUUCUGAAUGGAAGGGCCAUCGCUCAACGGAUAAAAGGUACUCCGGGGAUAACAGGCUGAUACCGCCCAAGAGUUCAUAUCGACGGCGGUGUUUGGCACCUCGAUGUCGGCUCAUCACAUCCUGGGGCUGAAGUAGGUCCCAAGGGUAUGGCUGUUCGCCAUUUAAAGUGGUACGCGAGCUGGGUUUAGAACGUCGUGAGACAGUUCGGUCCCUAUCUGCCGUGGGCGCUGGAGAACUGAGGGGGGCUGCUCCUAGUACGAGAGGACCGGAGUGGACGCAUCACUGGUGUUCGGGUUGUCAUGCCAAUGGCACUGCCCGGUAGCUAAAUGCGGAAGAGAUAAGUGCUGAAAGCAUCUAAGCACGAAACUUGCC